AAACCACUUGCUAUGAGUAGAUGCUAAUCUGCACACCCUGCAUGCACCCUGUAGAGGAAGGGUGGAGCCUCAUCUUCUCUGAAACCCUUGUUCACACUGGUGUGGGCUUGGACCAGCCUAGAGAAGCAAUGCCCUUCUGUCAUGUCUCUAGACCCAGAAUGAGCCUUUGGGACAGAAACUGAGGAGGAGGAUGCUUUGGCUUUCUAAUUUAUGUUCACACCAAAUGGGGGUGCAGCUCAGAAGAUGCCCAGCUUAUCCAACCCCCCUUCAAGCAAAAGACACCUUGGUGACCAGGCUUUUAUUUCAGUCAAUGGUGGUUAAACUGCAUUUUGUGAAGUUUGAAAAACUGCAGUUUGGGGAAGCAAGACUGAUCUGUAUCGCUAGGAUGAAGAUGGAGGCAUUUUAACCUGGCCCUGUUCCUGGACCCCGUCCACAUUUUCCUGGGGGUUGCAUUGCACCUUUCGUUCUCUGCUUCACUAAGGCAGUGGCAGCACAAUAUUUCUGUAAGUAAGGGUUUCUUUGCCUGCAGCUGCUUUAUUACUUAAUGCAGACCAUGUAAAUUACCUAUCAUAGGGCUGCCUGUGGGAAACU
rnacentral:lncRNA from 1 species